rnacentral:misc_RNA from 1 species
GUGCACGCCGCAUCGACGCACCCCACACGAUGUAAGGGGCGGGGAGCUCCUAAGGACACAGACACUCACACAUCUCCCGCUCUCCCGGCACCUACCCACUGCUCGGCUCUUUAAGUGUGCUGGCUUUUAUCAUGGACCAGCUGUAUGAGGCGAUGCCGAUUCCAUCCUCUGCCGACGAUGAAGACGCGCUCGAGGCAUCCCGUUUGGACGUGAGUUCCCACUCCAGCGGCGCUAGCUCAACGUCCCGCAGCUGCACGCACAGCGCAGACGCAACAUCUCCGGUGUCGUCAGAUGCCGCUGGAGAAGCGCCUGUGGGUGACACGGACACUUUUGGCAAGGACCUUUAUGCAGCGCAGCACGGGCAGCGUCAGGGACACGGCAGACACCAGGAGGUCUUCACCACCUCGAGCUCGCCGCACGCGCUCUGCAAGUUUCUCGUGCAGCUGCUGCGCGUUGCAGAGGAUCUCCACUCCCGGCUGGAGUGCCUGUUAGCCGAAAAGGUUGCUUCCGUGUCAACCGCCGCACCUCACUCGCAGACGUCUCACCCCGAAAACGACAGUCGCGGAUGUCAGGCCAUCAGCGGCAGGGCGCGUGCGAGCCCCCAAAGACCUACCUUGGCGGCGUGCAAAGGCAUUGCCAAGCUCCGCAGCCGACUCCGUAAGGAGACGGCCAAUGUGCGACGUGCGGUAGAGGGACUCAGUGCGGCUGGGUGCACACAUGCGCCGACGUCUUCUACCUCACCCGACUCGCUCGUCGUGCCACCUGCCAUCUUCGAGGCGGCAGUGGCGUGUGCGCAGUGUAACUCCUUGUCACACUAUGACGUUAUUAUCACAUGCCUUGAGCGCGAACGUGACAUCACCGGGGUCUACGUGCCCGUGAGCGGUGACGUGGGACCGCCGCAGUAUGUGACCUCAGCUUCGGUGAACGGGUCGAACACCGCGCACAGGACCUCCUUCGGGGAGGACAUGCGCAUCGAGGUGGAUGUGGUCUCCAGCAGCGAGCACCGCUGGAUCAAGGUGAAGACGACUACGGCGCGCAACCUUGAGCUCGAGGCGGAGGCGCUGGACGUGAAUGGUGCCAGCCCUUUUACCGACAUGCUUCUCGCCCUCCUCGAGCGCGCGAAACGGACCUGCCUGCCGCACCGACGUGCCGCUCAGGUGGCCGUGGUGCUGCUCCACCCGCCGCCGCCCGCGCUGGAGAAGUUCUUUGCGGCGCACGGUGUUGUCUGGGCAUUGCGUUCAGUAGACCACACCGUGCAGGUGUCACGACGACGAAUUCGAGCACAAGGGCCGCCGGUGGCACCCACUCGGUCGGCCACCACCACCUGGCUUCCACCGCUGGCGCCGUCUCCUGCGGUUAUUUGCCUCGACACGACCGCGUUGGUCACGCUUUGCUCCCAGAGCUGCUACGAGGAUGGCCUGCCCCACAGUGUGCGGAUGGAGCGGCUGGCACCGUUCCGCGUAUUGCGAGAGCAGCAGCGCAAGGAAGUCGUCGAGUGCCGCGCCGUUGCGGAGGUGUUAGAGCCGGCGCUGCGUUCUCACACCGUCUGGUACACCAGAGAUGCACUGGAGCAGGUUAUACAGCAUGCCCUUCUGCUACAGUGCGACAACGCGGCGGCCGAUGCAGAGCCGUCUGUAGCUGUCAAGCAGCCCGCUCAGGCCAUCCCCGCAGCUCUCAUCGUGCCGACCGAGCUCGACUGGCUCGGACCUCUGGAGGCGGCGGCACGAGAGCGGUUCUCCGAUUCCGCGGACGAGAACGCACACGAAGGCACUGCCACAGCUACCGCAACCGCUGCGGCACCGUCUGCAGCAGUGCCUCUUGCCGAGUCAACUCUUCUGGUCGAGUAUAGUGACCGAGUUGAGAGAGCUGCCGCGUCUGCCUUGCCCUCACUGCAUCAGCAGCCCAACUGGGUCAUGGCGGAUAUCACGUACGAGGAGUUUAAGUGGAUCCUGGAGACGAUUGCGGGACCACGGGAAGUCGCGCGUGCUGCACGUCUGCUGCGCCUUGUGAGUGUGGUGGACACCACGUUUUUGCGACACCAUAUGUGCAGCGGAGGCGGCUACGACGGCGGCGAUGGCGCGCCAAGUGUUACCGGACGUGGCACAGCAGCACCGCACUCUUGUCCUUGGCCGCCCCCGCUGCCCAUCUUCACUUCUGUGGAGUAUCUCCGACUCAGCGGCAAGGUGUCCCUACGCAACAAGAUUGUCUUUGGCCUCGCCGACGCUGUCAACGCCAUCAUUGUUACCGCGAAUGAGCAGGUGUGCCACGCCGCUCGUGAGCAGGGCGUGCAUGUCGAGGCUUGCUUUCACCCUUCCCGCUCCCUUACGGAGCAGAAGAUGUACCGACUGCGGCGGCGUGACGGCCCUAGGAAACCCCCAGUUAUCACCCCCUAGCAGGCGUGGUGCGGAAGUGAGGAGUGCAUGCGCGGAGGGCGGGGGGAGGGCGCAAAGAAGGGCAGUUGGCACAGAGAAUGACGCGUCACCGGUGCUGGUGUGCUUCUUUUUCACCUUUGUGGCACACCAGGCCUUCUCUGUCUCUCUCUCCCUCCCCCCGACUUUGACGGCAUGCGCCGCGUGUUCAGGGGUAGCUUCCCAGAGCUUUUUCUAAUGGGGCAGACGUGAUCCUCUCUCUUUCUCGACACACGCACGCACAGUGAUGCGGUCGCGCUCACGAGCGCAUCUAAG